CCAGUGAGUAAGUACCSGACUCAGCGGUCGCCAGCAGUAUUUCACUUUGGGUGGUAGCUGGUCUCUAGCAYGGGAGUGUAGAACGAGCCAGUUUGGCUGCAAUGACCGAGAUUUUCACCGCCCAACACCAAAGUUUGCCAACGAGCCGGUGAAMGCACAGAGAGGAGGAAACUCUCGGAAAAGCACAAUUAAAAAAACGUGAUGGCUGUUCAUUUGUAAGGACUUUGAAAACAAGCAAACAGACAAUAAGCAAAACCAGAUUUACCUUUCCAUAAAUCCAAGAAAAGAACAUCAACUGCUUUUUCUCUGAAAAACAGGAAAAGCUAUAACACAGCAACCAUUUAAAUGCAUUAUAUUUGAAGUGCUGUURCAACAAGAAGAGCUGUCCAUGUGGAGAAAACAAAUUAGCAAA